AAUCAGUCUUCUGGGAAAUCUAAUCGCUUAACUAUUAGGCUUCCAGGGGAUACUGUUAGACUUGGGACCGGGAGAGGUAAGAGGUACUGCAGGGGUAGGAGUGAAAUCUUGUAAUCCCUGUGAGACCACCAGUGGCGAAGGCGUCUUACUAGAACGGGUCCGACGGUGAGGGACGAAAGCUGGGGGCACGAACCGGAUUAGAUACCCGGGUAGUCCCAGCUGUAAACGAUGCUCGUUAGGUGUCAGGAACGGUGCGACUGUUUCUGGCGCCGAAGGGAAGCCGUGAAACGAGCCACCUGGGAAGUACGGCCGCAAGGCUGAAACUUAAAGGAAUUGGCGGGGGAGCACUACAACGGGUGGAGCCUGCGGUUUAAUUGGACUCAACGCCGGAAAACUCACCGGGGGCGACAGCAAUAUGUAGGUCAGGUUAAAGGUCUUACCUGAAUCGCUGAGAGGAGGUGCAUGGCCGUCGUCAGUUCGUACUGUGAAGCAUCCUGUUAAGUCAGGCAACGAGCAAGACCCGUGCCCACUGUUACCAGCAUAUCCUUUAUGGAUGAUGGGGACUCUGUGGGGACCGCUGCUGCUAAAGCAGAGGAAGGUGCGGGCUACGGUAGGUCAGUAUGCCCCGAAUCUCCCGGGCUACACGCGGGCUACAAUGGUUGGGACAAUGGGUAUCUACUCCGAAAGGAGUUGGCAAUCUCUUAAACCCAAUCGUAGUUCGAAUUGAGGGCUGUAACUCGCCCUCAUGAAGCUGGAAUCCGUAGUAAUCGCGUUUCAUCAUAGCGCGGU
rnacentral:rRNA from 1 species